rnacentral:rRNA from 1 species
CGGGUGAGUAACGCGUGGGUAACCUGCCUCAUACAGGGGGAUAACAGUUAGAAAUGACUGCUAAUACCGCAUAAGCACACAGUACCGCAUGGUACAGUGUGAAAAACUCCGGUGGUAUGAGAUGGACCUGCGUCUGAUUAGCUAGUUGGCGGGGUAACGGCCCACCAGGGCGACGAUCAGUAGCCGACCUGAGAGGGUGACCGGCCACAUUGGGACUGAGACACGGCCCAA